CAGGAGUGGACAGACCAUGCAUUCGAUAAAACAGGGAAAAAAAAAUCAAAAUGUUAUAUCAUAGCAAAGCAGGUAAUUGAUUCGUCGGGAGCAGAUGAGAAUUUUGACUGGAAGUUUGAGAAGUGCAUCUGCGACUUCAGCACCUGAUUGGAACACGUGGUACAUCACAUGAGGCAGCACCAAACAUCUAAAGAAGGACAGGCAAGCCUUGAUGUUUUAACCUCCAUCAUCUACAAGAACAUUUACCACUCUGUGUGAAAGCAAUGAUGAGCAACACUGCCACCAUGCAUGUCUAAUUCAUUUGCUGUACUUGCAACCUCUGCCACUGUUUGGUUGUACAGGGCUCUUACUGUUACA